AAAUGAAUGCUCCAGACCUGGGAAUUGUUUGUGGCUGAUGAAGAAAUCGCUUAGAUGCCUGAAUUAAUCUGUGUGGUGUCGGCUAGGAUAUUGGGAAGCUUGAAGGGUGUUGGAAGACUAACCUUUCAGCAGGACCAAUUUGAAAUAUUAAUGCUGCAUUCAUCAUUGUUCCUCGAGAAGAAUUUGGCCAAUAUGUUUAACACAGCUGUUUUAAAAUGAAGAAUUUGCUUGUUUCC